rnacentral:rRNA from 1 species
AGGGCGCACGGUGGAUGCCUUGACUCUAAUAAGCGAUGAAGGACGUAGUUAAGCUGCGAUAAGCUUCGGGGAGGUGCUUAGCAACCUUUGAUCCGGAGAUUUCCGAAUGGGGAAACCCAUCCAACUUUGUUGGAUAUCUUGUACUUGAUACAAGUUGCAUACCCAGGGAAGUAAAACAUUUCAGUACCUGGAGGAAUAGAAAACAAUGUUACGUAAGUAACAACAUUUCCCUAGUAGCGGCGAGCGAAAAGGAAACAGCCCAAACCUCUCACUAACUUUGCACAUGAUUAGUUCGUGUUAAAAGUUAGUGAGGGGUGUAGUAAGAUAGUGACGUCAUUUUUUAAAUGAGAAAAGUUACAAAAUAUUUUGUUAACAGAAUCUGCUGGGAAGCAGAACCCUAGUGGGUAAUAGUCCCGUAAGUGAAAACAAAGUAUCUUUUCCGUUAUUAUUCUUGAGUACCUCAGGACACGAAAAGCUUGAGGGAAUCUGCCGGAACUAACCGGUAAGGCUAAAUAUUGUUAGAGAUCGAUAGUGAACUAGUACCGUGAGGGAAAGGUGAAAAGCAGCCCGGUGAGGGCAGUGAAAUAGACCUGAAACCGUGCGCCUACAAGGAGUCGGAGCGGGCAGCACAUUGCAUGUGAUGCUAAGCAAAAACUUUUUAAACUACAAUUCAAAAAAUAUUUUGAAUUGUUUUGUGUUUAAAAAUUUUACUUAGAAUUUCGUUUGUAAUGUGCUGUCCGUCACGGCGUGCCUAUUGAAGAAUGAGCCAACGAGUUGAUCUGUGAAGUAGGCUAAGCCCUUUGCCGGGUGGAGCCAUAGGGAAACCGAGUAUGAAUAGUGCGUUUAUUUUACAGAUCAGACCCGAAACCAGAGCGAGCUAAUCUUGAGCAGGAUGAACCUUUGAGAAAUCAGAGGGGAGGUCCGAACCGGUGAGCCGUGCAAUACUCUCGGAUGACUUGAGAUUUGAAGUGAAAAGCUAAUCGAGCCUGGUAAUAGCUGGUUCUCUCCGAAAUAGCUUUUGGGCUAGCGUCAGAUUUACCCUUGGGGGGUAGAGCACUGGAAGGUCUUGACAGGUAGAAAUACCGCAAGACCUAUCAAACUCCGAAUACCCAAGAUAAACUAUCUGGCAGUUAGACUGUGGAGGCUAAGCCCCAUGGUCAAAAGGGAAACAGCCCGCAUCUAAAUUUAAGGUCCCUAAAUUCAUGUUAAGUACACUUAAGGUGGUAAUUUUUCUCAGACAGUAAGGAGGUUGGCUUAGAGGCAGCCAUCCUUUAAAGAUAGCGUAACAGCUCACUUACUAAGAGAUUUUGCGCCGCAGAUAAUCGGGGUUAAACAUGAUACCGAAACUUAGGACUAUAAACUUCUUCGGAAGUUUAUAUUGGUAGGAGAGUAUUCAACUCUGCGAUGAAGGUAAAGGGGUGACCCAUACUGGAGCGUGUUGAAGUAAGAAUGUUGGCACAAGUAACCACAAUGCGGGUGAGAACCCCGCACACCGAAAAACCAAGGUUUCCUUCGCGAUGACAAUCAGCGAAGGGUUAGUCGGGCCUAAGUGAAUGGCGAUAGCCGUACACGAUGGACACAUGGUUAAUAUUCCAUGACCUUUAUAUAUUGCGAUGGGAGGACGAAGAUUAGUAUGAUAAGCGCAUUAUUGGAUUUGCGUUUGUGGCGUAAUUGAGAAUUUUAGGUAAAUCCGAAAUUCUUUCUUAAAUGAUAAUUGAAAGCGCAGCAUAAACAUUACGGUUCGCCGUGGUGAAUUUAUCAAAGCAAACUUCCGAGAAAAGUCUCUAAGCUUAAAUAUAUAAAGACCGUACCGUAAUCCGACACAGGUGGUUAGCUCGAGUAGAGUAAGGUGAACGAGUGAUAGAUCUUCAAGGAACUCGGCAAAAAAGCAGCCGUAAGUUAGCAAUAAGGCUCGCCCAUAUUUAUAUGGGUAGCAUCAAAAGCUUCCCUGCCAACUGUUUAUCAAAAACACAGCUCCCUGCGAACUCGUAAGAGGAUGUAUAGGGGGUGACACUUGACCAAUGCCAGAAGGUCAACCAACGACGUUGCUAUCCGCAAGGGUAGUGGUGAUUGUUGUAAGCCCUGGUGAAUGUCGGCCGUAACUAUAACGGUCCUAAGGUUCUGAAACUUUCGUAAGAAGGUUUCAGAAGGACUGGGACCGUUGCAAAUUUACUGGCCUUGAUAAAUGAAUUAGAAAUUACACGAAAUAUAGCUACCUAAUACAUAGUAAUAUGUACUUAGUCCGCAACAUGGUUAACAAGAGACCAACGCCAUGGGUCCUACUUUUAAAAAAGAGGAUUAAGAUAGAGUCCAAUGUUUGAGGAAUGGUUGAGCGAAAUUCCUUGUCUGGUAAGUUCAGACGCGUUUGAAUAGUGUAAUGAGUGGGGAACUGUCUCGAAGAUCAGCUCGGUGAAAAUGCAAUACCGGUGAAGAUGCCGGUUACCUGCAGUUAGACGAAAAGACCCUAGAAGCUUUACUGCAACUUGGUAUUGAGUAUAUGUUUUGGAUGCGUAGCGUAGACGGGAGGAUUUGAAGUUUUUCUUUCGGGAAAGAUGGAUCCGCAAGUGAAAUACCGUUCUUUUUGAAUAUAUAUUCUAAUCUUUGAGGAAAAAACUCAUAGAAACAGUAUCUGGUGGGUAGUUUUAGUGGGGCGCUAUCCUCGAGGACAUAAAUUUAUUUUUGUGUCUUCGAUCCGUGGCGCCUCAGGAAGUGUUCACUUCAAACAAAUAAAUAAGGGGGACCAUAAUGCGAAAUCAUUAUGAGAAAAGUUAGUAAUAUCGGAAAAAAUCUUUUAUAAGUAAAAAGAAUAUUCCGAGGAAAUCUGUCGCAAGGCGGAGUCCGUAGAGAUUAAACACUAACCAUCCAAUCAAAUGGAUGAUGAUAUAAUCCGAUCUCAUUGGUAACAAUGAGAAGUGAAUAGAAAUAUUUCACUCAUAAUUAAUUUAUUAUGUAACAACAAUGCCUAAAAAGUAACGGAGGAGUCUAUUAAGGUCGGCUAGGCGCGAAUGGAAACCGUGCCGAUAGCGUAUUGGCAAAUGCCGG